UACGAAGGGGGCUAUCGUUGUUCGGAUUUACUGGGCGUAAAGCGCGUGUAGGCGGGUCGUUAAGUUGGGGGUGAAAUCCCGGAGCUCAACUCCGGAACUGCCUCCAAAACUGGCGACCUGGAGCAAGAUAGAGGCGAGUGGAAUUCCGAGUGUAGAGGUGAAAUUCGUAGAUAUUCGGAGGAACACCAGUGGCGAAGGCGACUCGCUGGAUCUUUGCUGACGCUGAGACGCGAAAGCGUGGGGAGAAAACAGG
rnacentral:rRNA from 1 species